UUAGCCGCUCGGCCACGCCGCUGUGCCCAAGGUUUAUAUCAUUUUGGAGCUGUGGGUAAACACCUGCAGGCAGAUCCGUGAGUUAUUUCCUGCCAGUUGAGGAUCAAGGCUCAGGAAGUUUCUCAAACUUGCUUUUAUCUCAGGGAAUAGUAUGACACCAGUGUACUACAUUUUUUCUCACCACUAUUUCCAGCCCUUCCAGAUCUUGCUCUUGGACAACAUCGUGAUGUGAGGAAACUUGGAAAGAAGGCGGGACAGUUUUUACAGUAAAUGAGAAGUUACCUACAAUAUAAUCACAACCAACAAGCAAGUGGAAUCGCUUGAAGUACUUGCUUUCCCAAAAUUACUUUUACUGUAGGAACCAUCAUGUCUGAGAAAGCAGAAGACCCAAGUCCGUCCUUGGGAUUCCGCCCCCUCGGGAGAGACCCAGAAGAAGCUACUGGCUGCUGGCUUCACACCAGCUGUGAUCAUUUAGAAAGUGAACCAGCCGAUGGAAGAUGUUUCUCGAUUUGUUUGUGCGCCCCUCCCUCAUAACUAUCAAAUAAGCACAAAGUGAUGGUGCAGCACGUGUUACUUGGCACAGCUUAAAUGACUCCUAGCAGUUAAUCAGUGCGGCUGACUGGCCUGGGGUCAGAUGAGCACAAUGCUGCUGACACCAUGGAGCUGCUCCUAGAGAAACAUUGCAUGUGAGGAAUGACUUCUGGGGGUCUUCCAUCAACAAGACCACUGUACUUGCAGGGAGUGGUGCUGUGGCAAAACACAACUGCUUGUAGGGUCAGCAUCCUAGUAUCAGAGCGCCAGUUUGAAUCCCAGUUGCUCUGCUUCUGACCCAGUUUCCUGCCAGUGUGCCUCAGAAGGCACUGGAAAAUGACUCAAAUACUUAACCUCUGCUACCCAUGUGGGAGACCUGAAUGGAAUUCCUGGCUCCUGGCUUCAGCCUGGCCCGGCCAUGGCUGUUUGAAGACAUUGGGAAAAUGAAUUGAAGUUAGAAGAACUCUUCCACUCUGCCUCUUUAUGUCGCUCUGCCUUUCAAAUGAUUAAAUCUUAAAAAUGUAUAAAUGAUCAUUAAGUUGUUAUCUGUUCUAUAGAUUGCAAAACGUGUAUUAAAGCAUCUCCCUUUGGAGGUCGGUGAUUGGCCUGGUGAUUAAGGUGCUAGUUAGGAUGCCUGUUUCCUGCAGGUUCGUCACUGUGGCUCCUUGCCUCAGCCUCCCACUAAUGCAAG